UAAUUCCCUAUAUUAUUAGCUUGUCUCAUUUUAUUAAAUCUCCUUUAAGGCUUUUCAGAAGAAGCACGUAAUUCCCAACAUAUAAUUUUUCCCAGAUGAGAUAUGAUGCAGAAGUGGGCUGCUCUGUCACUGGGGACCAGGGGGGUGGCUUUAUUUGUUUCCUUCCCCCACUCCCUGCUUCUUUAGCAACACUUUUCAUGUCUCUUGAUUACUUUUAGCUUUUGGGAUUUGAUUAACAGAGAAUUUGAAAAGCCUGAGACGUGUCUCAAAUCCCCAGCUCCUUGAGUCAUUCAGACAAGGGGUGGCAAGAGCUCCCUCAGAGACGCCAUCCCUGUGUCCAGCACGAUGCAGCUCCGAGCCAGGAGCACCCUGGAAAUCCCCUGCUCCCAGUUUCCAUCCUCCAUGCCAUCCCCUUGCCCACAGUUCACUUGGAUGCAGCAGCAUCCUGCCAGCAUCCUGCAUGGACAAAGGUGUCUGCGUGUCCUGGAUGUGUUCCCAAACUCUGGCACUUUCUGCUCCUUUCCAAAGAGCAGCAGCUUCCCUGGGAUUAGAGAGAAAUGUCACCUGUAACUGGAGAUGGGCAGAAACUGGGCUUGGAAUAUAAGGCACAGGGGAGAGGGAGGCUCAGUGACCCCAGCGGACACAUUGCUGGAUUUCAGGAAGGUUCCCAUGGAAAUAGUGAUGGCUGCCAGGGUUGUAGGACAAAAACCAAAGCCCAAGAGGAGGCAGGGAGCCAGGCAGGCAUCACUGGGCUGGAACUGGCAGAGGGAUGGGUAGUGGUGGGGAGGGCUUGGAGCCUGGAGGUGUUUUCUGUCCAGGUCCCACGUCUGCUCCUGCUGCUCCAUCUGUGGGUCCAGAGGGGCUGCGGGCACAGGGGUGGAGGUGUUGGGGGGAUUGGGCUGGGCGAGGGUUGAGCUGGUGCCCAAAUAGAGGACCCUCGAGGCUCCCAGCCCUGGUGCAGCAGCACAGAACCGCAGGCAGAGCCUGGCCUCGACAUCUUCCCGGGGCUCUGGCAGCCCUGCAACCUCCUGCGACCCUGAUUGGGAAAGGAGCCUCGCUCCGUAAACAGCUCCUCUCCGAAGACAACGCAACAUGGAAAAAGCAGCACAUUCCUACCAUUUUUUCCUUUGAAAUAGGAUCCAAGGAGGAUGCAGCACAGUGUGUCCAGCUCACCGGGCUGUCCCAGGGCCGCUGUUGAGCGUGAAGAUUAAGGAAAACAGCCUGGUAACUUGUCCUCUGGCUCAUGGCGGGAGCUCCAAAUAUCCCAAACUUCAAUGGAAGCGUUAUCUGUGGCGUCAGCACACAACCUCAUGUGAAGCAAUUCCCAAGGCUGCAAACAACCCGCCUGCCAACCUCCAGUGGGCCCAGCAAGCCCCACACUGUAUUUUGAAGGCAUGAAGUUAUGAAAAUAGCUCCAUGACCCCCUUUCCAGAGACCUCAUUUGGUCCUCGAUGCUUCUGCAAGAGCUGGAGGGAUGCACCUGCAUGUGCCAGCAGAGAGCUGAGGCUGCAACCGGCUGGUCCUGGGGGUCCCACAGUGCAGGUCUCUCCUUUGGAAGCAGCAGGACUCAUAUCUGACCUGGAGGCCCCAAGGUCCAUCCCUGCAUCAAUGCAGAAUAUGCCCCAGCUGCAGCUGGGAAGUGGGGAAACAGUUGUGACAAUACCAAUGCUUCAUGCUCAGCCUGAAGGUUUCAUCCCCUCCCUCUGGAAUCUCAAAUUCUUAGAAAUAUUAGGUAAUUGGAAUCACAAUUUUUUCCCUAUAACCAGCAUAAACGAUGGUCUGUGUUUCCCUCCUUGCAGCCCUGGGGACCAGCACGGCACCACCCAGGACUGGUCCUGGCCAGGGCCAUUCCCUGCCCAAGGGAGAAAGGUGGGCUUGGGCCCCAUGAUAUGGGCUAGAACAUCACCUUCCAGCUCCUCAGAUUGCUUUAGGGAAGAGAGCAGAUGCCUCUAAAAUAUCAGACUCCAGCUUUAUGGCAGCCAGAACCAGUUCUACAAAGGCAGCGACACAUUAAUCCGUGCUGGCUGCUGCAGGAAGAGCUACUAAAAGCAGGGAUGCAUCUGGCAUAACCCCAGAAAAACACUUGUGCAAUGCAAAGCCAACACAGAACAGCUGGGAAGUGGGAAGGGUUGGAAAUGGCAGAUCAAUGGGAAAGGAGUCCGUGAAGCUGGUCCCGGUGCAGCACCAAACCCCUGUGCUUUUGGGAUGCUGUGGGCACAGGAUGGGAAGCAGCUCCAUCACUGGGAUUUAUGGUGACAGACACACAUUUUAAGAGGCUGAUGCUGGCUGGGGAGGGGAAUGGUACAACUGGGGUCCCCCCUUGGCCUUGGAGUGGGGACAGGAAAGGGCGCACAAGGUCCCCAGACGGGGAAUGAGACACCACAAAUACGGCCCUCGCUGUCUUCUCAUGAAGGAUAAUUCUUCCCGACCCAGCACGUGUCUCUCUGGUAAAUACUGAUUACACUUAUCAACAAAUCCAAGUUUAUUGACAUCAGAGACUUUGAGCCAGGACUGGCAACUCUGACAUAAAUUGUCUGAAUAAUGCAAUGUAUCCUCUCCUCACUGGUUGCUAUGGGUACUGGGCUGGUUUAGCCUCUGUCUAUAAACAUUAACUGUGAAGGGGAUGUGGAAACUUAUCUAAAAAUAAAAUACUAUGCCCAAAUCUUUAA